CGGUUGAUCCUGCCGGAGGCUAUUGCUAUCAGGGUUUGACUAAGCCAUGCGAGUCGAGAGGUGAAAGACCUCGGCAUACUGCUCAGUAACACGUGGAUAAUCUGCCCUCAGGUGAGGAAUAAUCCCGGGAAACUGGGGCUAAUGCCUCAUAGGAGACGGGUGCUGGAAUGCUCUGUCUCCGAAAGGUCCGCCGCCUGAGGAUGAGUCUGCGUCCGAUUAGGUUGUUGUUGGGGUAACGGCCCACCAAGCCUUUGAUCGGUACGGGUUGUGGGAGCAAGAGCCCGGAGAUGGAUUCUGAGACAUGAAUCCAGGCCCUACGGGGCGCAGCAGGCGCGAAAACUUUACAAUGCGAGCAAUCGUGAUAAGGAAACCCUGAGUGCCUGUCAACGCAGGCUGUUCUGGUGUUUAGUCAGCACCAGGAGAAAGGGCGGGGCAAGACCGGUGCCAGCCGCCGCGGUAAUACCGGCUGCUCGAGUGAUAGCCACUUUUACUGGGCUUAAAGCGUUCGUAGCUUGGUCGUUAAGUCUCUGGGGAAAUCUUUUGGCUCAACCAAAAGACGUCUCAGAGAAACUGGCGACCUUGGGACCGGGAGAGGUAAGACGUACUUCGGGGGUAGGAGUGAAAUCUUGUAAUCCCCGAGGGACGACCGAUGGCGAAGGCAUCUUACCAGAACGGCUCCGACAGUGAGGGACGAAAGCUGGGGGAGCAAACCGGAUUAGAUACCCGGGUAGUCCCAGCCGUAAACGAUGUGCGUUAGGUGUGUCAGUGACCACGAGUCACUGAGGUGCCGAAAGGGAAACCGUGAAACGCACCGCCUGGGAAGUACGGUCGCAAGGCUGAAACUUAAAGGAAUUGGCGGGGGAGCAC
rnacentral:rRNA from 1 species